AAGAUGGCGACCGGCGCACGGGUGAGUAACACGUGUCCAACCUGCCGAUAACUCCGGAAUAGCCUUUCGAAAGAAAGAUUAAUACCGGAUGGCAUACGAAUAUCGCAUGAUAUUUUUAUUAAAGAAUUUCGGUUAUCGAUGGGGAUGCGUUCCAUUAGUUUGUUGGCGGGGUAACGGCCCACCAAGACUACGAUGGAUAGGGGUUCUGAGAGGAAGGUCCCCCACAUUGGAACUGAGACACGGUCCAA
rnacentral:rRNA from 1 species